UGGAGAAUCUUGGACAAUGGGCGCAAGCCUGAUCCAGCCAUGCCGCGUGGAUGAUGAAGGCCUUAGGGUUGUAAAAUCCUUUCGCCGAGGACGAUAAUGACGGUACUCAGAGAAGAAGCUCCGGCUAACUUCGUGCCAGCAGCCGCGGUAAUACGAAGGGACCAAGCGUUGUUCGGAUUUACUGGGCGUAAAGGGCGCGUAGGCGGCAUGACAAGUCACUUGUGAAAUCUCUGGGCUUAACCCAGAACGGCCAAGUGAUACUGUCGCGCUAGAGUGCAGAAGGGGCAAUCGGAAUUCUUGGUGUAGCGGUGAAAUGCGUAGAUAUCAAGAGGAACACCUGAGGUGAAGACGGGUUGCUGGGCUGACACUGACGCUGAGGCGCGAAAGCCAGGGGAGCAAACGGGAUUAGAUACCCAGUAGUCCUGAGCGGGCUGGCAAGGCGCAU
rnacentral:rRNA from 1 species